CCUACGGGAGGCAGCAGUUAGGAAUAUUGGGCAAUGGAGGAAACUCUGACCCAGCAACGCCGCGUGAAGGAAGAAGGUUCUCGGAUUGUAAACUUCUGAUCUGUGGGAAGAAGAAAAUGACGGUACCACAGGAGAAAGCCACGGCUAACUACGUGCCAGCAGCCGCGGUAAUACGUAGGUGGCGAGCGUUGUCCGGAUUGACUGGGCGUAAAGGGGGCGUAGGUGGUUAAUUAAGUCAGGUGUGAAAGCCCAGGGCUCAACUCUGGAAUUGGACUUAAAACUGGUUAACGAGAGGGCAGGAGUGGUGAGCGGAAUGUGUGGUGUAGCGGUGAAAUGCGGAGAUAUUAGGAAGAACGCCGGAGGCGAAGGCGGUUCACUGGACUGCAACUGACACUGAGGCUCGAAAGCGUGGGGAGCAAACAGGAUUAGAUACCCGGGUAGUC
rnacentral:rRNA from 1 species